UUGACUUGACUCGCUUACCAGCUGCUGCUCCCUUGUUCUCAUUAUAACACUCGCCUCAUUUUUUAUUUUCUAUACUCAAAACUCUAAAUGUCAUGGUAAGAAUGAAAUUUUAGCUCAAUUAUAUAUAUAUAUAGUUGUGUUUGUCUUUACUAACCAAUUACUUGUGCAAAUACAUCAAUUUGUUUAGCCAGUGCACCUAUGACAAUAUCAAUUAGGGUAAUGGCUAAGAACAAAAAAAAUGUUAACGUGCAGUUGAAGAAUAUAAUUCCUUGGAAAGAUUUGUAGCGCAGAAGCAUGCGAAGAUGCGUAUUACUGAAAGAACAAUGAUGAAUUGUGUCUGUCCGCCUGCCUUCGCCUCCAAGGUAACCUCCUAGUCCUAGUCCUAGCUUCACUUGAAUGGUCCAUCUUGCAUUGAAUAGUCACCUGCAUUAAUUUCAAUUUUUUAUUUAAUGAACCUUGUCCUCGAACGGUUGUACUAACAUAAUCUUGGGUUAUUUUAAUUUCUAUUCUUAGCUACUAAUCUUGUUUCCGUUCCUUUUUCCUUGCCAAUACAGAUGGAUUACAUUGAAGAAGACGAUUCUCAUGAACAUAAAUUAAAGACAAAUGAAAUGACUUGAUAUAUUGGUAUCGAUGAUUUCCGUAUCUACAUCUAUGUGUCUAAUAGUUGUUUAUCUAGUAGGUG
rnacentral:lncRNA from 1 species